AGGGUAUAUUGUACUGGAGUUAUACUAAACACCAAUUGGAUUAUAACAGCUGCACAUUGUGUUAAUUCCGAUCACACAAUAACUGUGCGUACAGUUCAGGAUAGCAAUGAUAAUAGUCAUACAUAUGGUGUAAACCAAUGGUUUAUACAUCAUCGCUAUAAGGAUGAUCUCAAACAGUAUUUUGAUAUCGCAUUACUGAAAUUGGAUUCACAUAUACUGAUCGCACAUACGGCCGGGUAUUAUACGGUAAACGGUAUUUGUUUGCCGGAGAAAAACAUUGUUAACAUCGAUGACGAGUUGGCACUGGUGGCUGGUUUUGGUUACAUUGAUCGGGGAGUCA